rnacentral:rRNA from 1 species
CGGUGUUCAACUGGCGUGCCCGCGGGACGUCCUGCCGGUGAGCUCAGCCCGCGAGGGCGGCUCAACUUGAAAUCCCAUCGCGGUGCUCUUCAUUGAGUGUCGAGGUGGGCCGGCACGAUUACUUUUGAACAAAUUAGAGUGCUUAAAGCAGGCUAAAAUUUUGCCUGAAUACUGUGUAUAUGGAAUAAUGGAAUAGGACCUCGGUUCUAUUUUGUUGGUUUUCGGAACCCCGAGGUAAUGAUUAAUAGGAACGGAUGGGGGCAUUCGUAUUGCGACGUUAGAGGUGAAAUUCUUGGAUCGUCGCAAGACGGACUAAAGCGAAAGCAUUUGCCAAAAACGCUUUCAUUGAUCAAGAACGAAAGUUAGAGGUUCGAAGGCGAUCAGAUACCGCCCUAGUUCUAACCAUAAACUAUGCCAGCUAGCGAUCCGCCGACGUCCCUCUGAUGACUCGGCGGGCAGCUUCCGGGAAACCAAAGCUUUGGGUUCCGGGGGAAGUAUGGUUGCAAAGCUGAAACUUAAAGGAAUUGACGGAAGGGCACCACCAGGAGUGGAGCCUGCGGCUUAAUUUGACUCAACACGGGAAACCUCACCAGGCCCAGACACUGGAAGGAUUGACAGAUUGAGAGCUCUUUCUUGAUUCAGUGGGUGGUGGUGCAUGGCCGUUCUUAGUCGGUGGAGCGAUUUGUCAGGUUAAUUCCGAUAACGGACGAGACUCUGACCUGAUAACUAGACGCACUUGCGGCAUCUCAAAGGUCCGCCGGCGGCUGGCUUUGCGCCCGUCGUCGCGCGCGAUUUUUACUGCCGGCGUACAAUAAAUUCUUCUUAGAGGGACAAGUGG